rnacentral:rRNA from 1 species
GCGGGAAAAGCUCAAAUUUAAAAUCUGGCGUGCCUUUGGCCGUCCGAGUUGUAGUCUGGAGAAGUGUUUUCUGUGCCGGACCGUGUACAAGUCCCUUGGAACAGGGCUUCAUAGAGGGUGAGAAUCCCGUCUUUGACACGGACUACCGGUGCUCUGUGAUGCGCUCUCAACGAGUCGAGUUGUUUGGGAAUGCAGCUCAAAAUGGGUGGUAAAUUCCAUCUAAAGCUAAAUAUAGGCGAGAGACCGAUAGCGAACAAGUACCGUGAGGGAAAGAUGAAAAGCACUUUGGAAAGAGAGUUAAACAGUACGUGAAAUUGCUGAAAGGGAAACGCUUGAAGUCAGUCAUGUCUGCCAGGACUCAGCCUUGCAGUUUUGCUUGGUGCACUUUCUGGUUGACGGGCCAGCGUCGAUUUUGACCGUUGGAGAAAGGUGGAGGAAAUGUGGCACCUUUCGAGGUGUGUUAUAGUCCUCUGCCGUAUGUGACGGUUGGGAUCGAGGACCGCAGCACGCCUUUAUGGCCGGGGGUCACACCCACGUUACGUGCUUAGGAUGCUGGCUUAAUGGCUUUAAGCGACCCGUCUUGAAACACGGACCAAGGAGUCUAACUUGCCUGCGAGUGUUUGGGUGGAAAACCCAAGCGCGCAAUGAAAGUGAUAGUUGAGACCUCUGUCAUGGAGGGCAUCGACGCCCGGACUUGAUCUACGGAGACGGUUCUGCGGUAGAGCAUGCAUGUUGGGACCCGAAAGAUGGUGAACUAUGCCUGA